GACGAACGCUGGCGGCGUGCUUAACACAUGCAAGUCGAACGGAAAGGCCCUGCUUUUGUGGGGUGCUCGAGUGGCGAACGGGUGAGUAACACGUGAGUAACCUGCCCUUGACUUUGGGAUAACUUCAGGAAACUGGGGCUACUAUCGGAUAGGAGCUCCUGCUGCAUGGUGGGGGUUGGAAAGUUUCGGCGGUUGGGGAUGGACUCGCGGCUUAUCAGCUUGUUGGUGGGGGAGUGGCUUACCAAGGCUUUGACGGGUAGGCGGCCUGAGAGGGUGACCGGCCACAUUGGGACUGAGAUACGGCCCAGACUCCUACGGGAGGCAGCAGGGGGGAAUAUUGCACAGUGGGCGGAAGCCUGAUGCAGCAACGCCGCGUGCGGGAUGACGGCCUUCGGGUUAUAAACCGCUUUCGCCUGUGACGAAGCGUGAGUGACGGUAAUGGGUAAAGAAGCACCGGCUAACUACGUG
rnacentral:rRNA from 1 species